rnacentral:rRNA from 1 species
CCUACGGGUGGCAGCAGUGAGGAAUAUUGGUCAAUGGACGAGAGUCUGAACCAGCCAAGUAGCGUGAAGGAUGACUGCCCUAUGGGUUGUAAACUUCUUUUAUAUGGGAAUAAAAUGUUCCACGUGUGGGAUUUUGUAUGUACCAUAUGAAUAAGGAUCGGCUAACUCCGUUCCAGCAGCCGCUGUAAUACGGAGGAUCCGAGCGUUAUCCGGAUUUAUUGGGUUUAAAGGGAGCGUAGGUGGAUUGUUAAGUCAGUUGUGAAAGUUUGCGGCUCAACCGUAAAAUUGCAGUUGAAACUGGCAGUCUUGAGUACAGUAGAGGUGGGCGGAAUUCGUGGUGUAGCGGUGAAAUGCUUAGAUAUCACGAAGAACUCCGAUUGCGAAGGCAGUUCACUGGACUGCAACUGACACUGAGGCUCGAAAGUGUGGGUAUCAAACAGGAUUAGAUACCCUGGUAGUC